UCAAGCGAACAAGGGCGCAGGGCGAAUGCCUUGGCACUGGGAGCCGAUGAAAGACGUGAUAAGCUGCGAUAAGCUUCGGGGAGCUGCAAAUAAGCAUUGAUCCGGAGAUUUCUGAAUGAGGAAACUCACCUGGGUUCAUACUCAGGUACGUUAUACUGAACUUAAAAAUAGGUAUAUCGAGGGAACCGCCUGAACUGAAACAUCUAAGUAGGGCGAGGAAGAGACAUCAAACGAGAUUCCGUAAGUAGUGGCGAGCGAACGCGGAAGAGGGCAAACCGAGAGUAGAAAUACUUUCGGGGUACGGACUGCUUUUAAGACUCAAUCUGUUAACCGAACGGCAUGGGAAGGCCGGUCAGAGAGUGUGAGAACCACGUAGGUGAAAACGGAGAGAGCUGCGCAGGAUCCAGAGUACGGCCAGACACGUGAAACCUGGUCGGAAUACGGGGGGACCACCCUCCAACCCUAAAUACUACCCAGUGACCGAUAGCGUAUAGUACUGUGAAGGAAAGGUGAAAAGCACCCCGGGAGGGGAGUGAAAAAGAACCUGAAACCCUGUGCCUACAAGCACCUAGAGCGCGUCAAAGCGUGAUAGGGUACUUUUUGUAGAACGGUCCGGCGAGCGAUUGUAUGCAGCAAGGUUAAGGACUUAAGGUCUGGAGCCGAAGCGAAAGCGAGUUUGAAAAGGGCGUUAAGUUGCAUAUAAUGGGCCCGAAACCGGGUGACCUACCCAUGGUCAGGUUGAAGUGGAAGUAAAAUUCCAUGGAGGACCGAACCGACCUCCGUUGAAAAGGCGGCGGAUGAACUGUGGGUAGCGGAGAAAUUCCAAUCGAACCCGGAGAUAGCUGGUUCUCCCCGAAAUAGUUUUAGGACUAGCCUCAAGUUAGAUACCUGGAGGUAAAGCACUGAAUAGCCUAGCGGCCGAGAGGUUAGCGAAGCUUAUCAAACUCAGAAUGCCAGAGUAUUGAUGCUUGGGAGUCAGACAGUGUCAGAUAAAUGUCAUUGUCAAAAGGGAAACAGCCCAGAUCUACAGCUAAGGUCCCAAAGUCAGGUUAAGUGGAAAACGAUGUGAAGAUACGCAGACAACCAGGAUGUUGGCUCAGAAGCAGCCACUCAUUCAAAGAGUGCGUAAUAGCUCACUGGUCGAGCGUCUUUGCGCGGAGAAUUUAACGGGGCUAAACCUGACACCGAAGCUUAGGCAAUACAGCAAUGUAUUGGGUAGGGGAGCGUUGUAUACGCGGUGAAACAGUAGCGCAAGCGGCUGUGGAGUGUAUAGAAGUGAGAAUGCCGGAAUGAGUAGCGCGAAUGCAGUGAGAAUCUGCAUGGCCGAAAGCCUCAGGUUUCUGGAGGAAGGUUCGUCCGCUCCAGGUUAGUCGGGAGCUAAGGUGAGGCCGAAAGGCGUAGCCGAUGCACAGACGGUAGAGAUUCCGUCACCACCAAAAGAGUUAAGCACAGGGACACAUAUGAAGUCUCAGAGCCGGGUGUUGGUUCCGGUAGAGAUCGAGGGAAAUUAGUACCGAAGUCUGAGAUGGAAGAUGGCGAGAAAAGCUGUGUGUAUUUCUGAGGUGCCCGUACCGCAAACCGACACAGGUAGGUAGGAAGAAGAUUCUAAGGCCAACGGGAGAAGGGUUGUUAAGGAACUCGGCAAAUUGACCCCGUAACUUCGGGAGAAGGGGUGCUCCAGAGAUGGAGCCGCAGAGAAUCGGCCCAAGCAACUGUUUACCAAAAACACAGGUUUGUGCUAAAUCGAAAGAUGACGUAUACGAGCUGACGCCUGCCCGGUGCUGGAAGGUUAAGAGGAGAUGUGCAAGCAUUGAAUCGAAGCCCCAGUGAACGGCGGCCGUAACUAUAACGGUCCUAAGGUAGCGAAAUUCCUUGUCAGGUAAGUUCUGACCCGCAUGAAAGGCGUAAUGAUUUGGGCACUGUCUCAACAGCCCGCCCGGCGAAAUUGUAGUACCGGUGAAGAUGCCGGUUACCCGCGACAAGACGGAAAGACCCCAUGGAGCUUUACUGUAGCCUAAUAUUGGGUUUCGAUGUUGCAUGCACAGGAUAGAUGGGACACAGGGAAACAAGUGCUUUGGCAUUUGUGGAGUGGCCGUUGGGAUACCAUCCUUGCGAUAUUGGAAUUCUAACCUGCGCCUUUGAAUCAAGGCGGGGGACAUUGUUAGGUGGGCAGUUUGACUGGGGCGGUCGCCUCCUAAAGAGUAACGGAGGCGUUCAAAGGUUCGCUCAGCUUGAACGGAAAUCAAGCAAAAGAGUGCAAACGCAGAAGCGAGCCUAACUGCGAGACUGACGGGUCGAGCAGUAACGAAAGUUGGAGUUAGUGAUCCGGUGGUAUGUGAGUGGAAAUGCCAUCGCUCAACGGAUAAAAGUUACCCUGGGGAUAACAGGCUGAUCUCCCCCAAGAGUCCACAUCGACGGGGAGGUUUGGCACCUCGAUGUCGGCUCAUCGCAUCCUGGGGCUGUAUUCGGUCCCAAGGGUUUGGCUGUUCGCCAAUUAAAGCGGUACGCGAGCUGGGUUCAGAACGUCGUGAGACAGUUCGGUCCCUAUCUGUCGUGGGCGCAGGAUAUUUGAUGGGAGCUGUCCCUAGUACGAGAGGACCGGGACGGACGUACCUCUGGCGCACCAGUUGUUCCGCCAGGAGCAUAGCUGGGCAACUACGUACGGAUCGGAUAAACGCUGAAAGCAUCUAAGCGUGAAGCCGACCCAAAGAUAAGAUAUCCCAUUGUUUCAAACAAGUAAGACCCCUUGAAGACUACAAGGUUGAUAGGCACGAUGUGUAAGUGGAGCGAUCCAUUCAGCAAGCGUGUACUAAUAGGUCGAGGGCUUGACCAC
rnacentral:rRNA from 1 species